rnacentral:misc_RNA from 1 species
CCAUGAUAAAUAAGAGGGAUCUCCCAGCCGCCUAGGCUUGACGAGAUACACAACAGUGAAGCACAUUGCCAAGAAGAAGCAGAGUCCACCAACAAUGAGAUAAGCAAUGCCAAGAAAGUCAUUUUUUCCACCAAGCCAGCUAGUAGUAGAAAGCACUAGCUUUUUCUUGCCGUUGAAGCUGUACGUAUUAUAGUUGUUCUCCAGUGUUACAAGUAUCUCAUCAUUGGGG